rnacentral:lncRNA from 1 species
AUCCCACCCUUGGCUUCCCUCUUCCCUUCCAUCACCCUCUCUGUGUCUCUCAGGUCUUGUGGAGAAGGCUCCAUGUUCCAUGAACUCUUCUCGAGUCUGUGAGUGUCAACCUGGCACUUACUGCAAAACGCCAGGUGUCAAUUCUUGUGCCCGCUGUUCUCUACACUCCCGCUGUUCUGGAGGCGAGGUCGUCAAGGUCCCAGGCACAGCAGAGAAGGACACCGUCUGUGAACUGCCUUCCUCAGGACCUGGCCCUGAUUGCUCCAAUCCAGAUGACUGCAAGACACUUACUAGCCAUGCCACUCCUCAGGCCACACCUACUUUGAAGACCUCAGCCACUGACAGUAUGAGGAGCUUGACAACGACAGGGAGCACCGGCCUUGUGCAGGAAGAUGCUACUGAGCUGUUGAAGGUCCCAGAGUUUCCCUCUUCCCAGGCAAGGGAGCCCAGUCCAGACCCAGAUAAGGCAGAGAUGAAUAUGAACUUGAAACUGCCAUCUCCAGGGACUCUUCCUGACUUCAGCACCUCAGGAAACAGUGAGGAGCCUGCCAGUACCGCCUCCACCCUGAGCCUCCUGGUAGAUGUGCAGACCAGCAGCAGGAUGCAGCCCACCUCUCCCUUGUCCACAGGAACACCAUUUCUGGAUCCAGGGCCCAUGCUCUUCUGGGUGGCCAUGGUGAUUCUGCUGCUUGGCUCCAGCACCUUCUUCCUGUGUUACUGGAAGGCCUGCAGGAGGCGGAUCCAGCAGAAGCUCCACCUGGAAAACCUAGCCCAGACCUUCCAGCCGAAGAUGGAGCAGGUGGGUGAGUAUCUGGUAGUGCAAAGGGCAGCCUGGACAGGUGGGUGACCAUCAUAGGCUGGGGCUGGGUAGACUCACACCAAAACACUGUCCACCAAGGGGGUUUUGAGUUGGAGAUGUUUCUUAAGUACGCGCUCGUACCUCCAAAGAGCUCCCCAGCGGAGGGGGUUUUUGUAUUUUGAUGGUUUCAAGCUUCUUUCCAUGAGCUGCCAGGCAGGGCUUAUUGAAACCAGUGUUUGCUUUCUUGACAUUUCUCUAGUAUUAGAGUUUCCAUUGCCGUCAGUUAAUUUUUUUUUUCUCUCCAAACAUUCGUGAGAACAGUUUUGUUAUAACAAGAAAGACAGAAAAAAAAAAAGAUUAAAAAAACAAAACAAAAAAACACCUGAAGAAGCUGGGCUUACAGGUAACUGAGUGAGUCUGGGGUCAAUGAUUGUGUCUGAGCCUGGUUCUGGACCUCUGGCUUCCAGUGGGUCCCUUGAUGUCUGGGUUUCAAGGACUGAAAUGAGAGAAGGUUUAAAUCAGGGUGAGCACACAGGGACCAGGUGACCAUAUCCUAGGCAAGGUUGGGCAUGGCCUAGG